UGCGCCUUGCCAGCCCGCUCAGAAACUUAAAGGAAUUGACGGGGGCCCGCACAAGCGGUGGAGCAUGUGGUUUAAUUCGAUGAUACGCGAGGAACCUUACCUGGGCUCAAAUGUAUGUUGACGUAUUCUGAAAGGGAUACUUCUUCGGACAAUAUACAAGGUGCUGCAUGGUUGUCGUCAGCUCGUGCCGUGAGGUGUCGGGUUAAGUCCCAUAACGAGCGCAACCCCUAUCAUUAGUUGCCAUCAGGUCAAGCUGGGGACUCUAAUGAAACUGCCUACGCAAGUAGUGAGGAAGGUGGGGAUGACGUCAAAUCAGCACGGCCCUUACGUCCAGGGCUACACACGUGUUACAAUGGCCAGUACAGAGGGCAGCCACCCCGCGAGGGGGCGCUAAUCCUAAAAGCUGGUCCCAGUUCGGAUCGGAGUCUGCAACCCGACUCCGUGAAGCUGGAUUCGCUAGUAAUCGCGCAUCAGCCACGGCGCGGUGAAUACGUUCCCGGGCCUU
rnacentral:rRNA from 1 species